AUUGAACGCUGGCGGCAUGCCUUACACAUGCAAGUCGAACGGUAACAGGGAGCUUGCUCCGCUGACGAGUGGCGAACGGGUGAGUAACGUAUCGGAACGUACCUUUCAGUGGGGGAUAACGCAGCGAAAGUUGCGCUAAUACCGCAUACGUCCUACGGGAGAAAGCAGGGGACCUUCGGGCCUUGCGCUAUCAGAUGAGCCUAGGUCGGAUUAGCUAGUUGGUGAGGUAAUGGCUCACCAAGGCGACGAUCCGUAACUGGUCUGAGAGGAUGAUCAGUCACACUGGAACUGAGACACGGUCCAGACUCCUACGGGAGGCUG
rnacentral:rRNA from 1 species